GACGAACGCUGGCGGCGUGCUUAACACAUGCAAGUCGAACGGAAAGGCCCUGCUUUUGUGGGGUGCUCGAGUGGCGAACGGGUGAGUAACACGUGAGUAACCUGCCCUUGACUUUGGGAUAACUUCAGGAAACUGGGGCUAAUACCGGAUAGGAGCUCCUGCUGCAUGGUGGGGGUUGGAAAGUUUCGGCGGUUGGGGAUGGACUCGCGGCUUAUCAGCUUGUUGGUGGGGUAGUUGCUUACCAAGGCUUUGACGGGUAGCCGGCCUGGGAGGGUGACCGGCCACAUUGGGACUGAGAUACGGCCCAGACUCCUACGGGAGGCAGCAGUGGGGAAUAUUGCACAAUGGGCGGAAGCCUGAUGCAGCAACGCCGCGUGCGGGAUGACGGCCUUCGGGUUGUAAACCGCUUUCGCCUGUGACGAAGCGUGAGUGACGGUAAUGGGUAAAGAAGCACCGGCUAACUACGUG
rnacentral:rRNA from 1 species